rnacentral:lncRNA from 1 species
GAUUUUGUUGCCUCAUUUAUCUAAUCUGCAAUGAUGUGUGCUUUUUUUCAAUCUCUUUCCUUCAAACAUCAGGUCCCUCCUUGUUAUCAGCGAUGAGCUACCUCUUAGUCCAAGACAUGAGCAGGCCAAACGUCUUCUAGAGCGCGCACGACUCAAGGCCCGCUCCAUUAACGCUGAUUGUCCGGGCAGACGCUCCCAUUCUGAUCAGUUAUCCACCAUAAAGAAGCAAUCAACUCGAUCUCCCAGCCCACCAGCAUCGCUGAAAAUGGUUCAACCCAUAGAGGACCUCCCAGUUCAAGCAGCAUCUGCUCCAGUUAUUAUUCCUGCCCAAAGAGACACUUCCCCCACUGAUCAAGCUGGGCGAUAUAAACACUAUGGCUGUUCCCCCACACGUGUACGUUUUGAGGAUGAAUCAGAAAAGGAAGCAGAGUCUCGGUAUUUAGACAGAAUGAGACAACGUGGCAGGCCAGGGAUGCCUAAGUCUAAGAUGAAUGACAUGAGUACAGAUUCUAGCAGCAGUAGUUCAGAGAGGAGUCGAAGCCAUCGAAAUGUCUCCAUGUCACUGAGACAAGAAGAUCCAGCAGGUGCUCAUAGCGAAAUCAACACCGUAGUUAAAGAAAUUGUAGUGCUGGUAAAGAAAUGCGAGUCGUGUGGAUCAGUGGUGAGGGUUCCUCAGCCUGUCUCAUUAGCACCAGAACCCCAAAACACAGAACAACAGCUGUCGGGAAACCCAGAAGACCCACGUUUAAAAACAGCUGUUCGUGGUGCAAACCCUCACAAAUCAGAGGCAAGUACCCGCCCCAAGGCUCCUCUGACUGUCACUUUUGCUGGAGCUUUUGUUCUUGGAGAAAAUAAAGAAAGCAGCACAGGUUGGAAGCCAUCUGGGUUUGGCAAACUUAGGAGGAGAAGCAGGAAGGGGGAGAGUAGGUUAGAGUCUGGCCAUGGACCCUACGGCCCAUCAUGGGCCCAAAGACGUAACUCGAAUCCCAGAAAUCGAAUCAGCAUGAGCAGAGGUGUGUCGUUUGCUCCUGACAGUCCUGUGGCUCUGGAACCACGUUUGUUGGAGGCCUCCAGUGGACUAAAAGAUUCAUCAACUCCAUCUCUGCCUAUCAAGUCAGCCCUAAAGUCCAGCUCAAGAAAUCGCUCUGCUACCAGUCAGCCCACAGUCCAGUUCCAGAUGGACUCAAAUCAGGGAGAGGGUGGAUCCCCAUCUGACCUAGACCCCCAGGAGACAAAGAGAGAAUCCCCACUGACUUUAACCCAAGGAACACCAACAACAAGCAGUUUGGUGUCCUGUAUCAGGCCUUCCACGCUGAGGUACACCACAGCCAGACCAACCACAGACCUACCAACUGCUGAGAUAUGGGACACUGCUUCAGAUGGACUAGGUCUGACUGGAGACGUCACUACCGCUUCAGAGGGUCGUGCUCUGCGUGGUUUGGCCAUGUUUCGAGCUGAGGACCUGAGAGCAGAUCUGCUAAGAGCAGAACAUCUAAAAGCUGAGGUGACAUGGGAGAACACAGAGGGAUACAGGUAUGGCCGCCAAAAACAAAUAAAUAGAAACCCGGAUGUCCUAUAAUUUGGAGACAGAGCACA